AGAGUUUGAUCCUGGCUCAGAUUGAACGCUGGCGGCAUGCCUUACACAUGCAAGUCGAACGGUAGAGUAGCAAUACUCGAGAGUGGCGAACGGGUGAGUAAUAUAUCGGAACGUGCCCAGUCGUGGGGGAUAACGUAGAGAAAUUUACGCUAAUACCGCAUACGAUCUAAGGAUGAAAGCGGGGGAUUCGCAAGAACCUCGCGCGAUUGGAGCGGCUGAUAUCAGAUUAGGUUGUUGGUGAGGUAAAAGCUCACCAAGCCGACGAUCUGUAGCUGGUUUGAGAGAACGGCCAGCCACACUGGGACUGAGACACGGCCCAGACUCCUACGGGAGGCAGCAGUGGGGAAUUUUGGACAAUGGGCGAAAGCCUGAUCCAGCAAUGCCGCGUGCAGGAAGAAGGCCUUCGGGUUGUAAACUGCUUUUGUACGGAACGAAAAGGCUCUUUCUAAUAAAGGGGGCCCAUGACGGUACCGUAAGAAUAAGCACCGGCUAACUACGUGCCAGCAGCCGCGGUAAU
rnacentral:rRNA from 1 species